GUGGGGAAUUUUGGACAAUGGGCGAAAGCCUGAUCCAGCCAUGCCGCGUGCAGGAUGAAGGCCUUCGGGUUGUAAACUGCUUUUGUACGGAACGAAAAGACUCCUUCUAAUAAAGGGGGUCCAUGACGGUACCGUAAGAAUAAGCACCGGCUAACUACGUGCCAGCAGCCGCGGUAAUACGUAGGGUGCAAGCGUUAAUCGGAAUUACUGGGCGUAAAGCGUGCGCAGGCGGUUAUAUAAGACAGAUGUGAAAUCCCCGGGCUCAACCUGGGAACUGCAUUUGUGACUGUAUAGCUAGAGUACGGUAGAGGGGGAUGGAAUUCCGCGUGUAGCAGUGAAAUGCGUAGAUAUGCGGAGGAACACCGAUGGCGAAGGCAAUCCCCUGGACCUGUACUGACGCUCAUGCACGAAAGCGUGGGGAGCAAACAGGAUUAGAUACCCUGAGUCC
rnacentral:rRNA from 1 species